CAGCGACGCCGCGUGCGGGACGAAGGCCCUCGGGUCGUAAACCGCUUUCAGCAGGAACGAAAUUGACGGUACCUGCAGAAGAAGCCCCGGCCAACUACGUGCCAGCAGCCGCGGUAAUAUGUAGGGGGCAAGCGUUGUCCGGAUUCAUUGGGCGUAAAGAGCUCGUAGGCGGUUCAGUAAGUCAGGUGUGAAAUCUCCGCGCUCAACGCGGAGCGGCCACCUGAUACUGCUGUGACUCGAGUCCGGUAGGGGAGUGUGGAAUUCCCGGUGUAGCGGUGAAAUGCGCAGAUAUCAGGAGGAACACCGGUGGCGAAGGCGGGUCUCUGGGCCGAUAUUGACGCUGAGGAGCGAAAGCGUGGGGAGCGAACAGGAUUAGAUACCCUGGUAGUCCACGCCGUAAACGUUGGGAACUAGGUGUGGGCCACAUUCCACGUGGUCUGUGCCGCAGCUAACGCAUUAAGUUCCCCGCCUGGGGAGUACGG
rnacentral:rRNA from 1 species